rnacentral:rRNA from 1 species
UACGAAGGGUGCAAGCGUUACUCGGAAUUACUGGGCGUAAAGCGUGCGUAGGUGGUGAGUUAAGUCUGUCGUGAAAGCCCCGGGCUCAACCUGGGAAUGGCGAUGGAUACUGGCUCGCUAGAGUGCGGUAGAGGAGAGUGGAAUUCCCGGUGUAGCAGUGAAAUGCGCAGAUAUCGGGAGGAACACCAGUGGCGAAGGCGGCUCGCUGGGCCGGACCUGACGCUGAGGAGCGAAAGCGUGGGGAGCGAACAGG